rnacentral:rRNA from 1 species
CAGCAGCAGCCGCGGUAAUACGGAGGGAGCUAGCGUUGUUCGGAAUUACUGGGCGUAAAGCGCGCGUAGGCGGUUACUCAAGUCAGAGGUGAAAGCCCGGGGCUCAACCCCGGAACUGCCUUUGAAACUAGGUGACUAGAAUCUUGGAGAGGUCAGUGGAAUUCCGAGUGUAGAGGUGAAAUUCGUAGAUAUUCGGAAGAACACCAGUGGCGAAGGCGACUGACUGGACAAGUAUUGACGCUGAGGUGCGAAAGCGUGGGGAGCAAACAGGAUUAGAUACCCCUGUAGUCCCUGUCUCUUAUAU